rnacentral:rRNA from 1 species
AGAGUUUGAUCCUGGCUCAGGACGAACGCUGGCGGCGUGCUUAACACAUGCAAGUCUACGAGAAAGAGGUAGCAAUAUCUUGAUUAAAGUGGCGCACGGGUGCGUAACACGUAAGCAAUCUACCUUUAGGUCUGGAAUAACUCCGAGAAAUCGGGGCUAAUACCGGAUGAUGCAGCGGCACCGCAUGGUGAUGUUGUUAAAGAUCUUGUAUCGCCUAUAGAUGAGCUUGCGUCUGAUUAGCUAGUUGGUGAGGUAACGGCCCACCAAGGCAACGAUCAGUAGCUGGUCUGAGAGGAUGAUCAGCCACACUGGAACUGAGACACGGUCCAGACUCCUACGGGAGGCAGCAGUGAGGAAUAUUGGGCAAUGGCCGAAAGGCUGACCCAGCAACGCCGCGUGGAGGAUGAAUGUCGUAAGAUUGUAAACUCCUGUUAGAGGGGAAGAAUAGUUCCGAUCGCAUCGGAAUCUGACUGUACCCUCAGAGAAAGCCCCGGCUAACUACGUGCCAGCAGCCCGCGGUAAUAC